AUGUUGCGUCACCACCAGCUGUGUAGAUUCAUGGAAUAAAGAUCCCGAUCUGCUUCUGUCACAUGAAAUUUAUUAUACAGGACGUGCAGAAUAUAUAACAGAGCUGUUCUCGUCGACAAACACUUCAUUUCGAGCGUGGAGCGACCCAUGCCUUUGGAUAACACCGCGUUCCUGGAUUUAGACGGACGUGAAUCAUCUUCUGCUGUUUGUUUUGUAGGUAAAGGGAACUGAAAUGUCGAUUGAAAAACAAAGCGUGUCCGAGGAAAACCUUCAGGGUUCCUGGGUGGAGCUGCAUUUUAAUAAUGGAGGUGGCAGCAGUCCUAAAGGAAGAACAGAGGAACAGGCCACCGCCCCAGACCUGGAGAAGAUGCUUCUGGAUGCGCAGCACGAGUCGGGCAGGAGCAGCUCAAGAGGAAGCCUGCCAUGUGAUAGUCCUCCAAGAUCCCAGACUCCUUCACACUUGCGCAGGGGCUCCGAGGUCCACAGCUCUGGAGAGAAGAACAGCUCACAGUCAGAGGAAGACUAUUUGGAGAGGAGAAGAGAGGUGGAGAUCCUGAUGAAGAAAAAUGCAGACUGGAUUUGGGACUGGUCGAGCCGACCGGAAAACUUACCACCCAAGGAAUUUCUGCUGAGGCACCCGAAGCGUUCCAGCACACUCAGCAUGAGGAACACCAGUGUGAUGAAGAAGGGAGGAAUCUUCUCAGCAGAAUUCCUCAAAGUUUUCCUACCCUCGCUUGUGCUUUCACACAUCCUUGCUGUGGGUCUCGGAGACAGUAUUUGAUAGUAACACAUAAAGGGCUAUUUUUGAGUCCCGCCUCACGCGGAUCAGCAGUGGAUGCGGUCUGCGUGCUGGAAUGCAUGCUAGUGUGCUCUACAGGGGGGUGUACAUCGGAAGGCGUAUUACUACUUCUGGCACAUUUUGAGGGAACAGGAAAGAAGAAAAAUCUCAUAUACGCACAUCAACCAUCUCAGCUGCUUUGUCGUGAAUCAGUGCUCGUGUAGAUGCAGAUAGGACGAGGUCACGUGACACAUUUCCUCUCCCCGGCUGUGGGCCGCUCUCUAUCUUGCUUCUCCCUUGUGUAUUCCACUGGCCUUUCCCAUAGUUCCUCUCCCAAAUCGACAUGUAAUGCCAGUCCAUUCUAGGGCCAUCAGCGCAGGGAAGGCCACGCUAGACUUAUGGGCACAUGCCUGAUAGAAUUAGAUGUACUGCAUCCUCAGAAUUUUGUAUUUACUCGUACCAAGACUACUAUUAUGAGAGGAUCAUAAAAUAAGGGAUAAAAGAGGAAAGGACGAGUGGAGCACGAGAUGCUGAAUCUCCAGAGACGUGAUGCCUGAUACUUGAGACUGUGAAUUGGGAGGAUUUUAAAGAACUUUCUACUCCAUAUCAAAACAGGGAUCAUAUCUAUUGAAUGCUAAAUCUCAACAUUUCAUGAUAUAACAAUGUCAAAGCACCAUUUUGCUGUAUCUUGAAGUUGUUUCUGCAUGUAUGAUGUUCCAGACACCAAAAACAGACCUUUGCUUUGGGAAUCAAGGCUGUGCAAAGUAUUACACAGUAUAUACUAGCAAAAAGUACUAUAUCAACACUUACCUGAAUGUCAGUUGAAAUCACAAAUAAAUGUACAAUACACAUCAAGCUUAUCUUCAGAUUUCACCUUAGUGCUCACCUGAAUUGCAAUCACAGAUGUUCUUCACAGAUGUUUAUCUGAACGGUCAGGGUUCCAGCCCGGAGAUUGCCUUAAAUAAAACUGUUAAUGAAUCAGGCAGGAGUAUAAGGGAAAUUGUGUACAUUUGUGCAUGUUUUGUAGUCUUUAAAAAUCGUAUUCGGUGUACGUGUCAAUUUCAUAGUGGUUUUGUAUCAACAGAAAUAAAUGUCUGCCAACUAUAAAACUUU